rnacentral:rRNA from 1 species
UACGUAGGGUGCAAGCGUUGUCCGGAAUUAUUGGGCGUAAAGAGCUCGUAGGCGGUUUGUCGCGUCUGCUGUGAAAACGCGAGGCUCAACCUCGCGCCUGCAGUGGGUACGGGCAGACUAGAGUGCGGUAGGGGAGAUUGGAAUUCCUGGUGUAGCGGUGGAAUGCGCAGAUAUCAGGAGGAACACCGAUGGCGAAGGCAGAUCUCUGGGCCGUAACUGGCGCUGAGGAGCGAAAGCGUGGGGAGCGAACAGG